GAUGAAGAACGCAGCGAAAUGCGAUACGUAAUGUGAAUAGCAGAAUUCAGUGAAUCAUCGAGUCUUUGAACGCACAUUGCGCCCCCUGGUAUUCCGGGGGGCAUGCCUGUCCGAGCGUCAUUGCUGCCCUCAAGCACGGCUUGUGUGUUGGGCCUCCGUCCUCCUCCCGGGGGACGGGCCCGAAAGGCAGCGGCGGCACCGCGUCCGGUCCUCGAGCGUAUGGGGCUUCGUCACCCGCUCUUGUAGGCCCGGCCGGCGCUUGCCGACACAUCAAUCUUUUUUCCAGGUUGACCUCGGAUCAGGUAGGGAUACCCGCUGAACUUAAGCAUAUCAAUAACGGAGGA
rnacentral:misc_RNA from 1 species